rnacentral:rRNA from 1 species
GAAUCUGGCUUCAGGUUCGGGACAACAGUUGGAAACGGCUGCUAAUACCGGAUGUGCCUAAGGGUGAAAGAUUUAUCACCUGAAGAUGAGCUCGCGUCUGAUUAGCUAGUAGGUGUGGUAAGAGCGCACCUAGGCGACGAUCAGUAGCUGGUCUGAGAGGAUGAUCAGCCACACUGGGACUGAGACACGGCCCAGACUCCUACGGGAGGCAGCAGUGGGGAAUUUUCCGCAAUGGGCGAAAGCCUGACGGAGCAAUACCGCGUGAGGGAGGAAGGCUCUUGGGUUGUAAACCUCUUUUCUCAGGGAAGAACAAUGACGGUACCUGAGGAAUCAGCAUCGGCUAACUCCGUGCCAGCAGCCGCGGUAAUACGGAGGAUGCAAGCGUUAUCCGGAAUUAUUGGGCGUAAAGCGUCUGUAGGUGGACAUUCAAGUCUGCUGUCAAAGACCGGGGCUUAACCCUGGAAAGGCGGUGGAAACUGAAAGUCUAGAGUGCGGUAGGGGUAGAGGGAAUUCCCAGUGUAGCGGUGAAAUGCGUAGAGAUUGGGAAGAACACCGGUGGCGAAAGCGCUCUACUGGACGGCAACUGACACUCAGGGACGAAAGCUAGGGGAGCG